UGAGUACGAGAUGCUACGGCAUCGAAGCAGUCUAUGUCAUACUUCCAAGAAAAGCUUGCACUGUCAUAAACAAAUAAUGCCUGUACCAUAACCGACACAGGUGGGUAGGUAGAGUAUACUAAGGGGCGCGAGAUAACUCUCUCUAAGGAACUCGGCAAAAUGACUCCGUAACUUCGGGAGAAGGAGUGCCUUAUUUAUAAGGUUGCAAUAACAAGAUCCAAGCAACUGUUUAUCAAAAACACAGGUCUCCGCUAAGUCGUAAGACGAUGUAUGGGGGCUGACGCCUGCCCAGUGCCAGAAGGUUAAAGAAGUUGGUUAGUGUAUGCGAAGCUGAUGACUGAAGCCCUGGUGAACGGCGGCCGUAACUAUAACGGUCCUAAGGUAGCGAAAUUCCUUGUCGGGUAAGUUCCGACCCGCACGAAAGGCGUAAUGAUUUGGAUACUGUCUCGGAGAGAGGCUCGGUGAAAUAGACUUGUCUGUGAAGAUGCGGACUACCUGCACCAGGACAGAAAGACCCUAUGAAGCUUUACUGUAACUUGAAAUUGGAAUUGGACUUUGCUUGCGCAGUAUAGGUGGGAAGCGUUGAAGAUAUUCUUGCGGGAGUAUUGGAGCUAUCAGUGAGAUACCACUCUUGUAAUGUUAGAUUUCUAACUUUGAACCAUAAUCUGGUCAAAGAACAGUUUCAGGUGGGCAGUUUGACUGGGGCGGUCGCCUCCCAAAUGGUAACGGAGGCGUACAAAGGUUUCCUCUGAACGGAUAGAAAUCGUAUCUAGAGUGUAAAGGCAUAAGGAAGCUUGACUGUGAGACCUACAAGUCGAGCAGGGACGAAAGUCGGUCUUAGUGAUCUGACGGUACUGAGUGGAAAGGCCGUCACUCAACGGAUAAAAGUUACUCUAAGGAUAACAGGCUGAUCUCCCCCAAGAGUUCACAUCGACGGGGAGGUUUGGCACCUCGAUGUCGGCUCAUCGCAUCCUGGGGCGGUAGUACGUCCCAAGGGUUGGGCUGUUCGCCCAUGAAAGCGGUACGCGAGCUGGGUUCAGAACGUCGUGAGACAGUUCGGUCCAUAUCCGGUGUAGGCGUUAGAAUAUUGAGAGGAGCCUUCUUUAGUACGAGAGGACCGAGAAGGACACACCGCUGGUGUACCAGUUAUCGUGCCAACGGUAAACGCUGGGUAGCUAUGUGUGGAGUGGAUAACCGCUGAAAGCAUCUAAGUGGGAAGCCCACCUCAAGAUGAGUAUUCUCAUC
rnacentral:rRNA from 1 species